rnacentral:lncRNA from 1 species
CUUGGUUUUUCUAAACAAAAUACUAUAAAUUGUAUUCAUUACAGCUGUGUUCAGCCUAUCAGGACAUUGGAAAACCCUUCAGAGAAAUUGAUGUCAGUCAGAGUGGAUUUGUGUCUUUGGAUUAUUUGAAGUCAGUCAUAAAUGGCUUUAUAUUUCCUUUGCCAAAUGAAAUUUUUCAAGAGCUAAUGAAUAGGAGCAUUACUGAAUGUGGUUGUUAACAAAGGAAGAUGUAUUGGAUAUGGUGGAAAGACAGGCAGAAGAAAGAACUAUUUAAUCCUCAGCAUCUGGAGGUUCACACUGUGAAAGAAAUACAAAUAUUUCACUUUCAUGGUUAAGAUCUAGCCAGUCUGUACAAUUGUUUCUUGUGAAGUACAAGCUGACUUUGUAGCUUCAG